rfam:Marine gamma proteobacterium HTCC2143 1100111000173, whole genome shotgun sequence.
ACGACCGUAGCUCAGUUGGUUAGAGCACCACCUUGACAUGGUGGGGGUCGGUGGUUCGAAUCCACUCGGUCGUA